AGGAGGAACAGCUGCUGUCUGUUGAGGGAAUGAGAGGGGCACAGGUGCUCCCUAUAGAGACUCAUUUGGUCCCACAGGCCAUAUUAGUAGGCUGGUCUCUCCACUUGUGUUUGCAGAGCUGUAACUGGAAGCACUGGAGGUCUGGAACGAAGAAGGUGAAGAGAGGUGGGCUUGGUGCGCUGGGCUUCUCCCCAUUAAGAAGAAUUGCAGACAACUGAAUAUGGAAAAGAAUACAAAAGCAGAGCCUGUCAGUCACCCCUGGGCGGUUGUCAGCAUCUGGAAGGAUGGAUGCAGAAGUUAAGAGCAGCCAUCUUCAUCCAGUCACCUGUGUGCCUCAGUCAGAGGUCAAAGCUGUUGAACACAAUGGCAAAGCAGCAUAGGAGAAACACCCUUUGUCCUCUGUCAUCGCUGUCAAAAACAGAGGAGGGGAAGAAGUCCCGCACACCACAUUUCAGCAAAGCCCUGAAGACAGUGUUCUGCACAGAGUCCCAGCCUCCAAUUGGCAGUCCCAGCUCUUUGGCAGAUGAUUUUAUCCAGGGUCAGACCCACAGCUCUUGAAAACUCACAACCUGAGGGAGUUCUGGAACUCCUCACCUCAUGGGUACACCACAGCGCUGAUCCAAGAGCCAGGGGCAGCAUUCCUUGGCCAAGAGGUUUGUGCUGGAUGGGAGCUGAGACCCUGAGUCUGAGGCUGCCCAGGAUCAGUGUGCUCAGAAUACCAACGGGCAUCAAUCAGGCAGUCUGGGAGAGCAUACAGAAACGUAUCAAUUUGUUCCCGAGUAUUUUCAGGCACAAACAACUGCAAGAAUUUACCACGGCUAUAUAAAAAUAUAGUCUGGGACCCAGGCAGGUCUGUAAAAGUUGUGUGAAGCUGGAGGACGCAUUUCCUUGUGGG
ensembl:lncRNA